GGUAGUUUUUGACACUGGGUUAACGGUUUAACCGGUUAACCCGGGUUAGUAUGAUGGUGCACCGGCACCAGAAAAUAAAUUAGAAAAUAAUGUUACUUAUAUAUAAAUACACUUGAGAUACUGUAGCAUGAACCUUAUUUUGACUUUGGUACAUUGGAUAAUGAGCCUUAGAUCCAUUUUGCGAAGGUACGAGAUAUGACAUGACAUAGUUAUAACUAGUAGCUCUGUGAGCUGUAGACCUCGCGAGCAUAGCUUAAAAGUGAAUAAAUGUAUGGCUCUACUGUUUAGAAGAAUUAAUAAUCGAAUAUGGUGGUCCAACUUCACAUUGUAUGUAGCAAAAAAAAUUAAAUAGAUAUUAUCUUCACCAGGCUCCCUUUAUCAUAUUAUGGAAUAAUUUUAACUCAUUUGCAAAUUAUUUAGUGGUCGCUGUACUCGCUAUGAUGUUGUGAUGUGCAAUAUCCUCAAUUUAAAAAAGCAAAGUAACCAAUAUGUUAAAAAAAAAUUACCGCCAUAUUUUAACAUACUUAUGAAUAAUAAAUAAAACGUAUAAGAAGUCCUUAAAGCCAUUUUCCAAGCAGAAUUAUUGAUGGGUCAAUUUAUUUUCAUACAAUUUUUAUGACAGAAUUGUUUUAUUUACAGCGACGCCUAAAUGAUGUUUAAUGCUCUAAAUUUUGCUAGGGAUACUGUAGCGUUAAUUUAUUUCUUAAUUAUAUUUUUCUCGUCGACAUGAUAAAUAAAUAUUAGUCUCAGCAACUGAUAAGUAUCGAUGUCGAUAUUAUCGACUUUCCCAUUCCCAGGAUACUUGUUUACGCGAUCGCCGACGCCAUGUUGUAACGGUCCGCCGCAGCCACCAUUGUACAUCUGACUGCAGCGCUGGACGCACGUCGCUCGUGCGAGCGUUAACGGCCGCGCCUUGUUUCGCGAUGUCGAAUAUAAUACUCGUAUAGGGAACAAGUGCUGUGCCCCUAAGUUUUAGAAUAUACUCAAGUGUAUCUGUUUUCCCCCGCUUUGGGGUCUACCCUUCGGGCUAAUUCAACGUCCACGCCUGCCCUUCUCUCGCUGCUCGGCGCUAACGCCAGGUUGCCACUACGCCAGGAAUGCCAGGACUGUAACGCCCAGCUACACACUGAUCCAAGUGCCACCACCACAGUAGGACAACGACCCACGUGAUUUAAUGGGCGUCUCUUGCUUAAUUUACUCACCAAUUGCUUCGGCAAAGGUGGCAGAGGUGCCAGGGGUAAAGGAAUCCUUGUUUUGGCGCUUGCAUUUUCUUUGUCCAUGUUGCGUACUAACGUCUAAAUCUAUAUUCUUGUAUUAUUGCAAUUAACUCCCAGGCACGACCAGCGCGACCGUUAUCUUCUUCUAAUUACCGGGGGCCCUUGCGGAUACACUUCGACCCAUAGGGAUCUUUUGUGUAGUUGCCCCCUAAGGAAAGACUUUUUGACCAUUUCCAUGUGUCGGAUGAUGGAGCUUAUGGGUAGCCUUUUGAAUUCCUUUGGUUCCAGAUAGCCUGCUCCAAAGUCCUUCAUUCUUUGUCUGGCGAGGGCGUGACAUUCACACAUUAGGUGUGUUACUGUCUCUUCCUCUUCACCACACAUUCGACAAUCGGUGUUGUCAGAGUGUCCCAUCCUGGCCAAAACCCCUUUGACCCCAUAAUGGCCCGUAAAUACCCCUGUUAUAAUUUGGAGUUGUCUCCUGCUAAGUUUCCAUAGCUUUUUGCUCCAACUGGAGUCUACUUCUUGUAUGAAGAGCUUUGAGUGCUUUAGACCCGUCAGACUGUCCCAUUCUUUUUGGUGUCUGGUCCUAGUGUGGUCUUUGAUAGCCGUUAUAAUGGUUCCCUGUGAGAGCCCCACGAAUGGUUCCGGACCUAUGUGGUUACUUGCGGAUCCGGCUCUGGCAAGUUCAUCUGCAUUUUCAUUGCCUAUGAAUCCCUCGUGCCCUGGAAUCCAUACCAGUUGCACUCUAUUUUGUCUUCCAAGCUUGUUCAGAGCUUGGACACCAUUGUACCGACGCGCGACCGUUAAUAUGUUUAAGAUAAAUGAUGCCGGUUGGGUGCAUAACUACCCACAUUAUUUUUUUAUGAAUUUAACCGUAUUAUUUUAGGUCACUGACUGGAUUGUAUUGUAAGCUAUUUUAUGUCGCUUUAUUAUAACAAAUUCAGUAUGA